rnacentral:lncRNA from 1 species
UAUUAUACAUUCUAGGAAAGUAGAAUAAAUGUUGAGAAAUCAAGGGUUCAAAACUGCAAAGAAGAUCCUAUAAGAUGCAAUAAACUCACCAUUAUUUCCCAAAGCAUUCUUUAUUCCAGCUAAUUGGGUUGCUGAUGCUUUAUGAGCUGAAAAUUGUUUAAUGAGUGGCUACUUAGAUCUUCUUUUGGUUUUUUAUUUUUUAUUUUUUUUUAAUUGUUGGACAGCCUGCUGAGUUUACCUCCGAUGUAAGGACAUUCAAGUAACUUGAAUUUUAUUCUGCUUCCUAUUGAAAAUGCAUCAUAACAAUGAGGGAUUCAGUAAACAUAAAAACAAUUAAAACAAGUGAAAGUUUCCAAGUAAAUGCUGCUGUAAUGAUUUCAGAAUAUGCUGUGAGUAAAGAAAACCAGUGAAAGCUUCCAAUCGAAGAACAAAGAACAAAUGAAUAAACAAAGGUCACAUUAUUGAUUCAAUGUUUUAGUAAUAUAUCAACAACGGAGACAGUAAGCAAUGCCUAUGUACAUCACAGAAUAAACUUAAAAGUGAAUACUUAAACUGGUGAAGGUUAGUGCUCUACACAACUCACUAGACCAGAAUUCUGUCAUCCCAUAUUUGCACAUUGUGUACCACAAAGUAAACAAAAUUUUUUGUAAGGCAGCAUGAUUCAGUAUGCAAGUUUUUAUCAUGUUAUUGUUAAUUUGUUAUGUCUUCACACUUUAUUGCACUGAAAAUGAGUGUGGAAUGGUAAAUACCUUCAGCUUCAUGAAUCAAGAAAGAAGCUAUGGACCACCUUCCUUCACACUGAUCAAAUUGAAUAGAGAUACUAUAAAUAAGGCCACCAAUUGAGAAGAAAAGGGAAGCUUGAAUGAAAGUUCAACUAGGCUCACUUCAAACUUCAAAUUAAGCAACGCAUCCGUGUAAUUGUGUAAAUGCUCGGAGUCAUCUCGAAUGAAAGAGAAACCCUCAAUCCAACAACUCCCUCCGGCACACAUUCUGAGAAACCCUAACCCUAACUCUUUCUUUUUUUAUUUUCGAAACGAUUGUCAGCGGCCAGCACUUGCGUACUCGUUCAUAUAUGGAAUGGAAAUUGUGAAAAUCAGAUUGUUCAGCAGAUAUAAAAAUAUCAGCUCUCAAUUCAUCUCAUACUCCAUUAAACUGAACAGUAAAUAUUACAUCUAAAAACUGUUAUAUAUCCCAGGAUAUAUCUU